rnacentral:rRNA from 1 species
AUUGAACGCUGGCGGCAGGCCUAACACAUGCACGUCGAGCGAGCGGCGGACGGGUGAGUACUGUCUGGGAACCUGCCUGAUGGAGGGGGAUAACUACUGGAAACGGUAGCUAAUACCGCAUACCAUCCGAUUUGCCCAGAUGGGAUUAGGUAGUAGGUGGGGUAACGGCGCACCUAGGCAACUAUCCCUAGCGGGUCUGAGAGGAUGACCAGCCACACUGGAACUGAGACACGGUCCAGACUCCUACGGGAGGCAGCAGUGGGGAAUAUUGCACAAUGGGCGCAAGCCUGAUGCAGCAAUGCCGCGUGUGUGAAGAAGGCCUUCGGGUUGUAAAGCACUGUCAGCGGGGAGGCGUUACCCGCAGAAGAAGCACCGGCUAACUCCGUGCCAGCAGCCGCGGUAAUUC